UUGACCUCGGAUCAGGUAGGGAUACCCGCUGAACUUAAGCAUAUCAAUAAGCGGAGGAAAAGAAAC
rnacentral:rRNA from 2 species